CGCAAGUACUACUACUCUGCUCACGACCGUACUGAACUGGUUGGCUUGCUGCUAUAGCUAGCUAGCUCAUCACAAGCAAAUCAGCAGAGCUAGCUAGAAUAAUCUACUCAAGAUGUUUAGAGCAAUGGCGCACCACCUUCUUCUGAGGGGUAAGAUGAGCGCUGCCCCGGCGGCGAUCUCGUCCGGCGUCGGCCUCGCUCGCUUCUCCACGGCCCCGAGUUCCCAGAGGCUGGCCGGGAAGGUGUCCGUCAUCACCGGGGCCGCCAGCGGCAUGGGCAAGGAGACCGCCGCGGAGUUCGUCAGGAACGGCGCCAAGGUCAUCCUCACCGACAUCCAGGACGACCUCGGCCGCGCAGUCGCCGCCGAGCUCGGCCCCGACGCCUCCUACGCCCGCUGCGACGUGACCGACGAGGCGCAGAUCGCCGCGGCCGUCGACCUCGCGGUGGCGCGCCACGGCCGGCUCGACGUCCUGCACAACCACGCCGGGAUCGCGGGGAAGAUGAGCAUGGACUCCAUCGCGUCCCUCGACCUCGCCGACUUCGACCGCACCAUGGCAGCCAACGCGCGGUCUGCCGUCGCCGGGAUCAAGCACGCUGCGCGCGUGAUGGUGCCGCGCCGGAGCGGGUGCAUCAUCUGCACGGCGAGCACGGCGGGGGUGCUCGGCGGCGUGAACCCCGCGUACUGCAUCUCCAAGGCGGCCGUGAUCGGCGCCGUCCGGGCGUUGGCCGGGGAGCUGGGGAGGCACGGCUUGCGCGUGAACGCCAUCUCGCCGCAUGGCAUCGCGACGCCGUUCGGGCUGCGCGGGCUGGCGGAGCUGCUCCCGGAGGCGAGCGAGGAGGAGCUGAGGCGAAUGGUGGAGUCGGGCAUGAACGAGAUGGGUGGGAUGGUGCUGCAGGUGGAGGACAUCGCGCGGGCGGCCCUGUACCUGGCGUCCGACGAGGCCAGUGACCGAUGGCGGCUGAAGCACUUUUUGUGGCAAUUGGUUCUUAUGCCUUUGGAGCUUUAUCGGCAGCAGGUGGAUUGCUUUAUGCAAUCAAAGCUUACAAGAAUUAUAGGGCCAUGCGUGAGGAGGUUAAAAUAUGUGCUGCCUGUGGGAAGGAAGUGAAGAUUAUGCUGUCUGAAGAGCAUAUUGAAGAACACAGAGUUGACCAAGCACGGGGAAAUGAAGGUGACCCAACACUAUGUGGAGUUGACGAUGCACUGCUGCUGUGGCAGGGCUAGAAUAAUAUGGUGCAUUGUGACGAGAGACAAACAAGACGAGGCCAGUCCUAGAAGAAGAAGAAAAAUGCAAUAAAUGGAGUCAUGGUGAUUCAAACUGUUGUCCAUGUUCUUUUUUGCAGAUAUCGAUAUCUUAGCAUGCUUCUGAAACAGAUGAUGUUUGCCACUUGAGAAAUCGCCAAGUAGAGGGCGUAACUUUGAAAUAGCUAGAUAGCUUUGAGAGAUGGUAGUUUCAUGUGGAGAUUUAAUUUACUUGGUUAUGGUACACUUGGUGAUGUUCCUUUUUACUCCCCAACCGUCGUCCAAUUGCGAAAUGUGUAGAUGAUCAAUGCUGCUAUUGCAGUGGCUAUGUGCUCGAUCGCUCAACUAAUUAGAGUUGGAACUUAUGAAAUUC